CAGAGGAGUCAGUGGCAGAUCACGGAAAUCCUGUUAAUACAGCUGAAAUCUACUUUUCUGUUGCGUCAGCAAAUACCUCCUCCAACCCGCUAGCUGUCCAUUCUGUGUGUGUGCUGAAAAAAAUGCAGUGUUCCUAAAAGGCCCUGGUUCUGUAAAUGGGAAACAAACAAAUUAGCUCGGACCGACUACCCCAGCCAAUCAGCAAAAGGGGGCGUCUGUGCUUGUGCACAGGACAAGGAGACGAGAAGAGAGGACCACUUGCAGCGACAAAUGGUAAAUCUCCACAAAAUAUUUGCAUUUGUCAAGAAGGAGAGAUAGCCGAGAAACAGCCAAGGAGGAGAAGGUCAGAAGAUCAAAAAGCGAAAAAGAAGUGCUGUGAUCAGACGAGGGGGAAGAGCCACGUCAACCUCGGCGAGGUUUCAUGCCGACAGUUGAAAGGCCUGAAGAUGGAUGCAGAGGUCGCUCUGUUUCUACUGGACAGGUGCAGUUGAUGAAGAUGAAGCCUGUGGGGAAAAGAAACAGAUCAACCAAAGCGGAUGUCCAGAGUGAUCAGAAACAUCAGUGUCAACACCAUCGAGCUGUUUUCAACUCAUGUUCUCACUCACCACAGC